CUAGGACACAGGGUGAUGACCUAUGAAUUGACAGCCAGUGUUUGCAGUCCAGCUGCCUGUCAGUUCUGUAGGCCACUGCCCUGUU